UACGGAGGAUCCGAGCGUUAUCCGGAUUUAUUGGGUUUAAAGGGUGCUCAGGCGGGCCAUUAAGUCGGCGGUGAAAUUUUGCGGAUCAACCGUAAAAGUGCCUUCGAUACUGGUGGUCUUGAGUGUGGAUGAGGUAGGCGGAAUUUGUGGUGUAGCGGUGAAAUGCAUAGAUAUCACGAGGAACUCCGAUUGCUAAGGCAGCUUACUAAGCCAUAACUGACGCUCAAGCACGAAGGCGUGGGGAUCAAACAGGAUUAGAUACCCGUGUA
rnacentral:rRNA from 1 species